GGUAGCCUAGUGGUUAGAGUGUAGAGGGGGCAGGUAGCCUAGUGGUUAGAGUGUAGAGGUGGCAGGUAGCCUAGUGGUUAGAGUGUAGAGGAGGCAGGGUAGCCUAGUGGUUAGAGUGUAGAGGUGGCAGGUAGCCUAGUGGUUAGAGUGUAGAGGUGGCAGGGUAGCCUAGUGGUUAGAGUGUAGAGGUGGCAGGGUAGCCUAGUGGUUAGAGUGUAGAGGAGGCAGGGUAGCCUAGUGGUUAGAGUGUAGAGGUGGCAGGGUAGCCUAGUGGUUAGAGUGUAGAGGUGGCAGGGUAGCCUAGUGGUUAGAGUGUAGAGGAGGCAGGGUAGCCUAGUGGUUAGAGUGUAGAGGUGGCAGGGUAGCCUAGUGGUUAGAGUGUAGAGGUGGCAGGGUAGCCUAGUGGUUAGAGUGUAGAGGAGGCAGGUAGCCUAGUGGUUAGAGUGUAGAGGUGGCAGGGUAGCCUAGUGGUUAGAGUGUAGAGGUGGCAGGGUAGCCUAGUGGUUAGAGUGUAGAGGUGGCAGGUAGCCUAGUGGUUAGAGUGUAGAGGUGGCAGGGUAGCCUAGUGGUUAGAGUGUAGAGGUGGCAGGUAGCCUAGUGGUUAGAGUGUAGAGGUGGCAGGGUAGCCUAGUGGUUAGAGUGUAGAGGUGGCAGGUAGCCUAGUGGUUAGAGUGUAGAGGUGGCAGGGUAGCCUAGUGAUUAGAGUGUAGAGGGGGCAGGUAGCCUAGUGGUUAGAGUGUAGAGGUGGCAGGGUAGCCUAGUGGUUAGAGUGUAGAGGGGGCAGGGUAGCCUAGUGGUUAGAGUGUAGAGGUGGCAGGGUAGCCUAGUGGUUAGAGUGUAGAGGCGGCAGGGUAGCCUAGUGGUUAGAGUGUAGAGGGGGCAGGGUAGCCUAGUGGUUAGAGUGUAGAGGUGGCAGGGUAGCCUAGUGGUUAGAGUGUAGAGGCGGCAGGGUAGCCUAGUGGUUAGAGUGUAGAGGUGGCAGGGUAGCCUAGUGGUUAGAGUGUAGAGGCGGCAGGGUAGCCUAGAGGUGGCAGGUAGCCUAGUGGAUAGAGUGUAGAGGCGGCAGGGUAGCCUAGUGAUUAGAGCCUAGAGGUGGCAGGUAGCCUAGUGGUUAGAGUGUAGAGGCGGCAGGGUAGCCUAGUGGUUAGAGUGUAGAGGUGGCAGGUAGCCUAGU